rnacentral:rRNA from 1 species
UACGUAGGGUGCAAGCGUUGUCCGGAAUUAUUGGGCGUAAAGAGCUCGUAGGCGGUCUGUCGCGUCGGCUGUGAAAACUCGGGGCUCAACUCCGAGCCUGCAGUCGAUACGGGCAGACUAGAGUGCUGUAGGGGGAGACUGGAAUUCCUGGUGUAGCGGUGAAAUGCGCAGAUAUCAGGAGGAACACCGGUGGCGAAGGCGGGUCUCUGGGCAGUAACUGACGCUGAGGAGCGAAAGCGUGGGGAGCGAACAGG